rnacentral:rRNA from 1 species
CAGCCGCCGCGGGAAUACGGAGGGUGCAAGCGUUAAUCGGAAUUACUGGGCGUAAAGCGUGCGUAGGCGGUUCGUUAAGUCUGUUGUGAAAGCCCCGGGCUCAACCUGGGAAUGGCAAUGGAUACUGGCGAGCUAGAGUGUGUCAGAGGAUGGUGGAAUUCCCGGUGUAGCGGUGAAAUGCGUAGAGAUCGGGAGGAACAUCAGUGGCGAAGGUGGCCAUCUGGGACAACACUGACGCUGAGGCACGAAAGCGUGGGGAGCAAACAGGAUUAGAUUACCCCUGUAGUCCCUGUCUCUUAUA